rnacentral:ncRNA from 1 species
AAUGAUAGCGCCAGACCGAACGCUUUUUUCGGGCGGACGGUUGACGAGGAGAGAAGUCAUCGAAGAAUUCGGCGGAUGCUUCUCCGGCAGAACGGGAUGCCGACAGAUCGGAACAAAUAUGCGGGCAACCGCAAA